UCCUCAGGCAGGGCGGGCUGCGCGCCUGCGAUUUUCCGCCUGUGGUCCCGGGGCUGCCCGGGCCCGCCAGGAGAAUCGGCGAGCCCAGCGGUGCCUGCCCCGGGCUGCAGCCCCACCUGUCGGCGGGCGCUGCCUGGGAGCGGCUUCCGGGAGUCGGGAGGCCCCCGCGGUGCAGGCGCGCGCCUGACGGCUUUGCGAGGCUCACUGGGUCUGAGAGGAGGUGCCUAAUGAGAGAACUCAUUCCCCUAUCAAAAAAUACCGUGAGUCAGCCGUGCGCGGAGGCUCAAGCCUGUAAUCCCAGCACUUUGGGAGGCCGAGGCGGGCGGAUCAGGAGGUCAGGAGAUCGAGACCAUCCCGGCUAACACGGUGAAACCCUGUCUCUACUAAAAAUACAAAACUUAGCCGGGCGUGGUGGCAGGCACCUGCGGUCCCAGCUACUCGGGAGGCUGAGGUAGGAGAAUGGCAUGAACCCGGGAGGCUGAGCUUGCAGUGAGCCAAGAUCACGCCACUGCACUCCACCCUGGGUGACAGAGGAGACUCCAUCUCAAAACAAAAACAAAAACACCGUGAGUCAUUUUUAGUAGCGAAAAGUUCUCACCUAAAACUGUCCGUUUUAUCUGUAUCCACCUGUGUAGAUCGGUUCCUUACUGAAGGUUCUUAGAGGGAAACUUGGAAGUGGGAGGUGGGUUCUGUGUUGUUGAAUGGGAAGACACAUUUUUCUCAAAAUGUGAGCUCUUUCUGCGUUUAUCAAGUUUACAGAAGCCGAAUGAAAAAAUCAAGGUUUUAACAGUUUUGCUUGACACCUACUGUCUUUUACUAUUGUAAUGACAUUUUUAAAAAUUUUAGGGCUGGGCACGGUGGCUCACGCCUGUAAUCCCAGCACUUUGGAAGGCCGAGGUGGGCGGAUCAGGAGGUCAGGAGUUUGAGACCAUCCUGGCUAACACGGUGAAACCCCGUCUCUACUAAAACAACAACAACAACAACAAAACCCGUCUCUACUAAAACAACAACAACAACAACAAAAUAGCCGGGCGUGGUGGCGGGCGCCUGUAGUUCCAGCUACUCCGGAGGCUGAGGCAGGAGAAUGGCGUGAACCCGGGAGGGGGAGCUUGCAGUGAGCCGAGAUCCCAAAGUGCUGGGAUUACAGAAUUCGACAGCAAAUUUUGGAACAUAAAGAGAAGAUUCUUAAAAAUGGCAAUCCAGGCCGGGUGCGGUGGCUCACGCCUGUAAUCCCAGCACUUUGGGAGGCCGAGGCAGGCGGAUCACGAGGUCAGGAGAUCGAGACCAUCCUGGCGAACACGGUGAAACCCUGUCUCUACUAAAAAUACAAAAAUAAUUAGCCGGGCGCGUUGGUGGGUGCCGGUAGUCCCAGCUGCUCCGGAGGCUGAGGCAGGAGAAUGGCGUGAGCCCGGCAGGCGAAACUUGCAGUGAGCCGAGAUCCCGCCACUCCACUCCAGCCUGGGCAACAGAGCAAGACUCCGUCUGAAAAAAAAAAAAAAAAAA
rnacentral:lncRNA from 1 species